AACGAACGCUGGCGGCAGGCUUAACACAUGCAAGUCGAACGCAUCGCAAGAUGAGUGGCAGACGGGUGAGUAACGCGUGGGAACAUACCCUUUUCUACGGAAUAGCUCUGGGAAACUGGAAUUAAUACCGUAUACGCCCUACGGGGGAAAGAUUUAUCGGGGAAGGAUUGGCCCGCGUUGGAUUAGCUAGUUGGUGGGGUAAAGGCCUACCAAGGCGACGAUCCAUAGCUGGUCUGAGAGGAUGAUCAGCCACAUUGGGACUGAGACACGGCCCAACCUCCGACGGGAGGCAGCGGUGGGGAAUAUUGGACAAUGGGCGCAAGCCUGAUCCAGCCAUGCCGCGUGAGUGAUGAAGGCCUUAGGGUUGUAAAGCUCUUUCACCGAUGAAGAUAACGACGGUAGUCGGAGAAGAAGCCCCGGCUAACUUCGUGCCAGCCGCCGCCGUAAAAC
rnacentral:rRNA from 1 species